rnacentral:misc_RNA from 1 species
GUCAUUUAACUGGCUUGUUGACCUUUCCAAGGCUUCCCCAGUCUUCACUUCACUUUCCAAAUUCACUUCACGAUUCUGAAUCACACUAGUAGCACGACCUUCUGCUCAAGUAAGUGACAACAUUAUCAAAAGUUAAUGAUUGCAUUCUCUUCAAUAUAUCCCGAAGCACAAAAUAUCAAGCACAUUAGAAGCUUGUUUAAAUUAAUCAUCGCCCUUUCAACCUUCUCGUCUUUCAAGGUUCUUCUGCUUCA